UACGGAGGGGCUAGCGUUGUUCGGAAUUACUGGGCGUAAGGCGCGUAGGCGGCCCGCUAAGUCGAACGUGAAAUCCCCGAGCUCAACUCGGGAACUGCGUCUGAUACUGGGAGGCUUGAGUAUGGGAGAGGGAUGUAGAAUUCAGGUGUAGCGGUGAAAUGCGUAGAUAUCUGGAGGAAUACCGGUGGCGAAGGCGGCAUCCUGGACCAUAACUGACG
rnacentral:rRNA from 1 species